CUCAAUACUAUUUACUUCAGUUUGUAGCUCAGGUACAGAUAUUUUUCGCCUGCCCUUCCGAAUGUCCGUUUGAGCUCAAAUUUGGCAAUCAUAUUCGGUUUCACUUAACUUAACGAAAGAUAUUUUAAUCUUUCAGUUCGACCCUCUUUGGUCACCGAAAGCUCUACCGAACUGUAAUCUCUAGCAGAUAGCAGUUUAAUUUUAUUCUCCACCUUCCGGAUAUCAGAAUGACAUGAAACUUUAAAUCUAGCCUCAUAAAAAUAAUUCUGACAUAUUCUCCAGUUUUCAUAAUUUUCUGACACUGUAUAUUUUCUGCUAAUUUAUCUGCCCCGUUUCUCACAAAAAAUUCUAAAUCUUCUGUUUUCGCUCCGAUUUCAGCACAGGUCAUUUCCAACUUAUAUUUCACUUCUCUAAAUUCAAUAAAAAUAGUAUCUCAUACUAUUUUUAUUUAUUUUCACUUUUACAUUAAAAUUCGGUAUAUUACAUUCCACCGCAACUUCAUAACUACAGAAGUUCGGCAUCUUACAUCCUCCCCUCCUUAAAAGAGUUUCGUCCUCGAAACUAACUCACUUCAAAUCCAACUGAUACCUCAACUCAAUUUAUCGAGUAAUCGAGGGUUUCAAUGCACUUCCGCACUUCGGGGCAGCCUUACUCUCAUCGGAACUAUCCAAAGGCCCACCACGGAGGAUGUGAGACUAAUUUCACUCACCUUUGCUAAGCAUAAUGCCGAAAGUGCAUUACGGUUCCCGUGAGUCUCGGUGGCAGCGUGAGUCGAUACUCAACGACUCUUCACGCUCCAACAUUACUCGCUACUCAGCACACAAAGAACCUUUCUUUGCAUUUCUCAUCCCUUCGGAAAACACACUCCGAUUCGAGAGAAGCAAUAUCAUUGGUGCAUCACCCAAUCGCGAGUGCUCCAAUCACAAUUGGACCUUUGCUCUACCACGAGAUGGCACACUCCGGCACAUCUCCAUUUCCAAUCCAUCAUAGAGCAUUAGUCUCAAUGCGCGUGGCUACCCAUUGCCCACGUGUCUCCUAGAGACCACUUUACUUUCAAUUCCACUUGCCACGACCAACAUCAAAUUCGCUCUCGCAACGAGCUCACACGAACUCCCCAUUCGUGAAUCCAAGCCAAACUCCUCGCUAAGGCUAUCCGUUCACUCACUUUCCUCAAAUCCAUAGGUGAACCACGGGUCACCAAUCCUACGUAGGCCUACCGCCUAAACUGAUCUCAACUACGCGUAGCGUCUCUCUCUCACUAGCGUAGACCCAAUCAGCACUGGGCGAAAUUCUCACUUGGGAAUUCGUACACACUCCAACCAGGAGAAACUAAGACCCCAAACCACGUCAAGUCCUCGGGUUGGAUCACUACACACUCGGUGUAUCAUCAAUCAUACGAUCUAUCACGUGGCAUGCUCACCAGAGCAACACAUAAUACUAUCGGCUCCUAAGUACCUAGUGUGAGCCAUCAGCCCCACGAGUGAUCCCAGGUACGCUUCACACCUAGCAAUGCUACAGUGCUACUGCCUACACACUCUCCCGGUCGAGUCAAUACCACACUCCACGAGCACCUAUAUUCGAGCAUCGUACGUCUCUACAGCGUUCCACACUAUGUCCAGUAUUAGGCAACCCUGCCUAUGCACGCCGACCAAACAAGCGCAACCUCCAACCUCAAGUUGAGGUACUACUAGGCCCACGUGCUCGUACUCGGUCACUAAUCAAGCGUUCACAAAACAGUGAUUCCAUUGUCCACUGUUUGAUCUACCGGAUCUACAUCCGAACACUCGGACUACUCGAUGUUCAAAAGGGUUAUGACUCGACUCUCGCAAUCGGCUACUUACCUUGCCUUGAGAGUUGGUCCACCAUCUCCAUCCCCAUCACGAGUCUUACCGUUAGACUCUCACCAGCGACUCGCUAGUGCCAACUUGCUCUUUACCUGCUCCAACAGGUAUUAUACUUCCAUAUGCAAGCAUGCCCGGGUAUCCUCACUCACCCGUCUACUUGGUCCCUACUAUACAAUGUAUAAAUAGUAGCAACUGACCACAACAAAUGCAUGCUAUGCACCAACCUUACAUCACGCAGAAGCACACGACUGCUUCAACUAAACCACCCCUGCCAUGACGUCGUCGGCAGCAGUAGGUUCCUCAAGCUAGGUCGCGUACCACGGCUACUUGUCGCUCGCCGCGAACCCUCCGGUUGCCACAUCCUCAUCGCUCACUCUCCAGACCAUACUAUAGGUGGCACACCUGCAGGCUGUCUCGGAGAGGAGAAGGCCGUCGUCAAUGCCAAGGUCUAGUCAUCCACCAACGGCACUCAUCUUGCACAUGGCUCGGCCGCCCACAACGAAUGCACUUUUCAUCACGUAGCGCACACCGCCGCGCCUAGCGAGAAUUUCUGUAAUCCCACACCUCAAAGAAGUUAAACAAAAGACACUUCCGGGGUUCGGGAUUGCGGCUGCAACUUAAGAUUGUGCAUUGCCCAAACUGGGCAAUUUUUGAGUAUGGGGAUCGGUCUUCCUAUAGAGAGACCAGACCCCGAGAGCAAGCUGCGCCCAGAGUAGCUUUUCUGCUCUUUCCAGGCUUACGGGAACCGGUCCCUCAGCUGAAGGACCGGACCCCGAGAGCUUAAAAAUUCUGCAAGAUGCAGAAUUCCACCAACUUGCUCUCCGAAGUCCUUCCUAAUGCACUUUAUGCACUUUCGACACCUUCAGCCUUUUCGAAGCGUUCCAAACUCGUCUUCGACCGACUUUGAUCGAAGUCCGCUUCCACACAUCGAGGUUCCACUUCCUCAAAGAGGGUCUCCGUGGAGUCGAUCCACAACUCCACGAUCCACGGACCCGCGUCCCCUCCACCAAGGGCAGGCGGAUCAAAUCGCUUAAAGGUCAUAAGGGCCGCUGAAGCUCACGAAGUUCCAACUCUCCGCUCGCCUCAAAUUGCCCAGGGACACCACUUGUCCCAUCUCGCGCCAAUCUAAUGAAGAUAGCCUACACGGUGCUAUCGCUUCCUAAAACACGACAACUUGAUCAAUCCUCGACCCCCAAGGUCGAGCACGAAAUAACUGACACCGACCCCGGGCGAAAGUCAUACAAGGGAGCCUAUUCUCAUCACUCGGUUUCAUGUUGUGUAUACCCAACAUGAACACCCUCGGUUUAGAAUAAACAACACCUCGAGUCUACCUCUAACAUCCGUUUUAGAGGUUUACUAACCUGCCCCAAUCAAUUAACUUUUCGCCACAAGUCAUAAGUCCUCGUCUCUCACGAGCCUUAACCUCUAUGGUUUCACUAUCCUAGGGUCUCCUAGGUCCAUCUAAACUAUUUUUUCAAUCUCUACUUUAUGCUCUGAUAUCAUCUUAUCUGUCAUGUCCCGAGCCCCGCCUAUUUGGUUGGGUUCGGGCACGCCGACAGACCGCCAAACGGACAGAGUCUCACCUGUAUGUCUUAGGCGUCGCAAUCAAUACAAUACAAGAGUUCCAACAAAGAACAGUGUACAAACAGAGAUUGCAUAAGGAAGUAUUAAAACAUAAACAACUAAGCUAUUACAACCAUUCAUGUCAAAUCAUACAUUUAUAUUUUCUAUCAAAUACAUUCAACUUCCGAAUACAAUCAAUUAUCACAAAAUUAUUACAAGUUUGUUCUUUUUCUUUUCUACACCUCUAGCAAGGCUGACUCGGGAUACCACUAUCUCUGGUCUCGGUGGUAGGGUGCUAUCUACGGAGCUACGUCCUCUCCUCGCGCCGCCGCGCCGCUCACGUGAGAACCUAUAAUACCCCAAAACAACGUGGGGUGAGAACAAACUCUAUGGUUCCCAGUGGGUACGACCACCCAAGGAAAAGCUCGAUCAACAGGUCCGAAGGAGGCAAAUUGCAGUUUAGUCUAAUAAACAGAUAGAUAUAAUAUCUAGAUUAUGUAACUAACAAUACCAUGCAUUGCCUCACAAACAUAGUAAUGCAAAUGCUAUAUGCAAAUCAUGCAAUAAUGCAACUAUGCAACGAACUAGUAGUUCAUUCGUUACUACUUUCAAUCCUGCUAACCAUAGCUCAUCCAAUUGACUUCUAAGUUUUCCUCUAUCUUAGAUUCUUGUCAUUUACCGUUUUGAUCAUAAAGUUUCACCUACAUUUUCAAAGCUAACCACCCGACUUGAUCUUGAGUUAAUCAUCCGCGGAAUGCGCGCAAAGCUAGGCUCGAGGCGAAGGACGUCUCACUUGCACCUCAACCUUAAAUCCACUCAACUGGGAUACCAAAUCCACUCUGUGGCUCAUAUACUUGUCACCCAAUCACUAAGCUAACCCGAGGGUUCGCCACCAACUCACGUCUCAAAGUCUCAUAGGGGAGGAGAUCUUAAUCACUCGCUACCCCCGAGACCGCCUGCGGACAGCUAGCUACUGUCCGGGCAGCUCACGACUGCCCCCCUAGUGACCAAAACUCCGGAGUGCAUAGCUUGUGUGGAGCGACCACCACAAGCGCAGACAUGCUAUGUGAGUAUGAUCCAAUCCUCGCCAACUGAGGAUACCCUGUCAACUAGGGUCAUCAUCAACAUGGAAUCAAUGUGUUCCUAUACUCAUCAUCCUAGUGUUUCAACUACACUAAGUUCUUAUAUCAUACAUCAUGACCUAUGUCAAGUGUCUCAUCUGUACUAGGUCCCAUGCCACUCAGCUAGAUCUAAUUGACUCUAGGUUCAAUGCCCUCAUCACACAACCUAGGUUUAAUUAACUCUAGGUUCAAUCCACAACCUAUGUUCACGACACUAGGUUCAAUGUCAUUCUUCCUAGAUCUUGCUUCUAGGUUCACUUGUUCAACCUAUGUUCACGACACUAGGUUAAUGCCACUCGAUCUAUUCGAUACCUAAUUGUCCACAUCGAGUUUCUAUAAACAUCCACAUUAUCAACAUGCAUAUUAUACUUAGUCUUUUCUCAUUAUGUCACUGUGCUCCCUUCUAGCAUGUAGGUUAACAUGUCAUAUGCAAAUAACAUCUAGCAUAUAUUUCAACAUAGCAAUUUGCCAUUAUCAACUAGCAUGCAUUUCUAAUGCAUCAACAUGCAACUAUCAACUAGCAUACAUAAUAUUUAUAUGCAAUUAUCAACAAGCAAGUAUUCCCAUGAUGCUAGCAUGCCUAUGUUUCCAUUUAGCAAUUAGGUUCACAUGCAUAAUUUCCUAAACCUAUCAAUUAGGUUUACAUGCAUUAUCUUCACCUAGCACACUACAAUGCCAACAUGUACCUAGCAUAUAUUUCACAAGAGGUUGUCAUGCAUUUCACUUUGCUUUUCUAUAUCAUGUCACAAUGCACUCCUCUAGCUUGUAUUUUCACACAUCAACAUGCAAGUAUCACCUAGCAUAUAAUCUCAUCAUACAUAUUCUAUCUAUAUGCUUUAACACAUUUAUGAUGCUAUCAUGCACAUAUUCUAAUCAUGCUAACAUGCAUAUAUAUCAUCCAAGGUGACUAUUACAUAGUAUCUCAUGCAUUCACCAAUGCAAUCAACUACCACUACUCAUAUAUAUAUGCAUUAAUGAGAAAGCACAAUUUUCUUCGACAUGUAGGUGACCUAGUCGCUUGGUAAGCACAACCCACCUGUUAUCGCGUUCCGAUUGCUUGUCGACACUUGCAAUCGGCCGGCCGCGGCACACGCCGCUCGGCUCAACCCAAUUCACGCGCGACCACCGAAAGACCUCCGAUCCGCGAUCCGAAAAUUAAAGGUCUUUGGUGUGACGCCCCAACUUCCCAGGGGGUCACCCAUCCUAGGACUACUCCCGUCCUAGCACGCUUAACUCUCUUAACCUCUUGGGCCUUGCCACCACCCAAAAUGCUUAAGCCGGGUUAAGAGUUUAGCCCUAUUAUAUCUUAUAUAUAGGACUAUCUGGGGUCUCACAAUCUCCCCUCCUUUAAGCCCUGACGUCCUCAAUAUAUUAUAUAUAUUAAUAAAUUAAUAUAUAUUAUAUAUAUAAUACACUCUGGGGUCUAUCAGGAUAUAUAUUCUAUAUUAUCCCGAUUUGAGAAUUGGGGCCGAAUUCGUAAAACCCACCACCGUUCCGGGUUCUCCAAUUCUCUCAAUUCGCACGAUCCUGCCCUCAUCAGGAUUCUACCCACUGGGGGUGGCCGUCUCGACUCUCUCGAUUUCCGCGUUGAAGUCCUAGACUACCUAUCUCCCAAACACGCUGGGUCACAAAGCGGCACCCCUCGCGGCCACAAUAAACAUUUCUUCUUCCUACCAAGCAAGUCCAAUACACAUCUAAUGGCCCUCGACUUGUUUCACUGGUAGUUCUUGUUCAUAGGAGACGGCGCGUAACUACUAGAUAAGCUAGUCGACGUUCCUAGAACACUUAUCAGGAUAUAUAUUCUAUAUUAUCCCGAUUUGAGAAUUGGGGCCGAAUUCGUAAAACCCACCACCGUUCCGGGUUCUCCAAUUCUCUCAAUUCGCACGAUCCUGCCCUCAUCAGGAUUCUACCCACUGGGGGUGGCCGUCUCGACUCUCUCGAUUUCCGCGUUGAAGUCCUAGACUACCUAUCUCCCAAACACGCUGGGUCACAAAGCGGCACCCCUCGCGGCCACAAUAAACAUUUCUUCUUCCUACCAAGCAAGUCCAAUACACAUCUAAUGGCCCUCGACUUGUUUCACUGGUAGUUCUUGUUCAUAGGAGACGGCGCGUAACUACUAGAUAAGNCCAAAAAUUAAAGGUUUAUAACUUGAUGCCACGAUGCUCCGGAUCCAUUCUCGUGAUUUUUGGACGCUGCCUCGGCCCUCCAGGCGGAAACAAAGCCGAACGUCCGUUUCUUCAAUAUCUUCGCAUAGGCUCGACGAAUCGCCGAAACGACUUCGCCAGCGCGUCAAAACACCUAGCAAUUAGGUUUAUAUAGGUUUAAUUUAGAUCAAACCCCUACAUUUACAAAACUAGCAUUUCUAACCUAGCAUGAAAACAACCCCAAAUAAUCCGAAAUUAAAUGGAGCGACGUGCUAGAAACACUUUAGAGACCAUUAGAACACUAAACAUCAAGGAUUAAACCAAAUCCUAGAAGCUUACCAAAUUGUGAACGCCGAGUCGAAAGCACGUCGCGCAACCGGGUGCACGAAGACUCGAACCGACGCUCCGCACGCGUUCGCAAGCACGCUCUCUGCCAACGCCGCGAGUUUGAGGGAGAGAUCUAGAGAGAUGAGAGAGAUAUUUAGAGAGAUAAAGGAGGGUUUCUCUCUCUCCCUCCCUGCAUGCGUGUGAUGCUUGUGCUGGUGGUGAUGCUCGGUUGAAGGAGAAAAGAAGCAAAUAGCUUCUUUUAUAAUAAACACCCUCAACAGUAUUCACUUCAGUUUGUAGCUCAGGUACAGAUAUUUUUUGCCUGCCCUUCCGAAUGUUCAUUUGAGCUCAAAUUUGGCAGUCAUGCUCGGUUUCACUUAACUUAACGAAAAAAAUUUUAAUCUUUCAGUUUCGACCCUGUUUGGUUACCGAAAGCUCUACCGAACUGUAAUAUCUAGCAGAUAGCAGUUUAGUUUUAUUCUCCACCUUCCGGGUGUCAGAAUGACAUGAAACUUUAAAUCUAGCCUCAUAAAAAUAAUUCUGACAAAUCCUCCAGUUUUCAUAAUUUUCUGACACUGUGCAUUUUCUGCUAAUUUAUCUGCUCCGUUUCUCACAGAAAAUUCUAAAUCUUCUGUUUUCGCUCCGAUUUCAGUACAGGUCAUUUUCAACUUAUAUUUCACUUCUCUAAAUCCAAUAAAAAUAGUAUCUCAUACUAUUUUUAUUUAUUUUCACUUUUAUAUUAAAAUCCGGUAUAUUACAUUCCACCGCAACUUCAUAACUACAUAAGUUCGGCAUCUUACAUUACUCCUAUUCAGGCUUUUCGUCAAGCAAUCUGCAAGAUUCAGAUCCGAUCUGAUAAAACUCAAAGAAAUAAUAUCAUGAGAUAUUAGCCAUCUAACAGACUUCUGUCUUAAUUUAAUAUAUCUACUAACUUUAUAAUUUACCAACUUCUUUUUACAAAAAUCAAUUGCAACUCGAGAAUCACACCUAAUAGAAAUAGGUGGAAUAUGAGAAGAAAUUAAAGGAAUCGAUGAUAGUAGAUUAUUGAGCCACUCGGCUUCAAGACAAGUAGUAUCAAGGGCAACUAACUCGGCCUAAAUAGUGCUUAUGGCUAAUAUAGUCUGUUUGGUGGAUUGCCAAGAAACUGCACCUCCACCAAGAAUAAAAAUAUAACCAGAAGUUGAUUUGAUAUCCAAAGAAUCAGAAAUCCAAUUGGCAUCACUGUAUCCCUCAAUUACAGCAGGAUAGCCAACAAAUCUGAGAGAAUAUGAGAGAAUACCUUUAAGGUAACGAAAUACUGUCUUCAGAGCAAUCCAAUGAGUCAUACUAGGGUUACUAGUAUAUCUACUCAAUCUUUAUAUGGCAUAGGCAAUGUCAGGUCUAGUCCUAUUGUUUAGGUACAUUAGAGAACCAAUAAUCUGGGCAUAUCUCUCUUGAUUCAUAGGAUUAUCAUCGUUCUUCACAAGUUGAACACUAGGAUCAAAAGAAGUAGAAACAGGAGAGCAAUCAGAGUAUCCAAAUUUGUUAAGAACCAUUUAGGUAUAAUGAGAUUGGGUCAGAAGAAUAGAUCAGAUGAUCUAAGAAUUUUCAUUCCUAAAAUCACAUCUGCUUCACUAAGAUCCUUCAUAUCAAAAUGGUCCGAUAAAAAAGAUUUAACUUGGUUAAUCAAACUAAGAUCAGGUGCACGGAUUAGGAUGUCAUCAACAUAUAGGUAAAGAAGAACACAACGAUCAUCAAAUCUCUUGAAAUAGAGACAGUUGUCAAAAUUGUUUAUCAGAAAUCCAUAUGAUUCAAUAACACUGUCGAAUUUUUCGUGCCACUGCUUUGGUGCUUGUUUUAGUCCAUAUAAAGAAUGGACUAAUUUACACACCUUAGUUUCUUGACCAGGCACAGAGAAGCCUACAGGUUGAGUCAUAUAAAUUUCUUCUUCAAGAUCUCCAUGAAGAAAAGCAGUUUUGACAUCCAUUUGAUGAAUCAAAAGCUUAUGAAUAGAUGCUAAUGCAAGAAAGACACGGAUAGUAGCAAUGCGAGCAACAGGCGCAUAUGUGUCAAAGUAAUCAUGUAGCACACUGGAUCUUUGCAAAUUGCGAGGUUCGAGUGUUUGAUGAGUACUCCGAACUUUUCCACACUUAGUAGAAGACCGUAGAUGGUAUUCCGGCCUAAAAGUUUGAUCUCUAGAGUUUUGACUUAGUCCUGAGAGUUUUCACUCUCGGGGACCGGUCCCUGAUAGGAUAGACCGGUCCCCCCAGAGCAGUGCUGCGGCAGGACUUGAAGCAACCGAUCUCUGGCUGGGAGAGACCGGUUCCCGAGCGCGUGUUUUGCGAGAAGGGUCUGAGAGACCAGUCCCGUGCGGGGAGAGACCGAUUCCCGAAUGUUGGUUUUUCGGGUUCGACACGAGAGACCUGUCCCGUGCAGGGAGAGAUCGGUCCCUCAGCGCGAAAACAGCCCAGACCGAACAGUGCACAGAGUGGAUUUUUGAGGGACCUAAGUGGAUUUUGUUACUUUUGAUGGCUUAUAGAGCCUCUUCUCUCUCUCCCAUCCUCAUUUCCCUUCCCUCACACCCACUUUAGAGAGAGAAAGGGAAGGAGGAGAAGAAGGAGUUGGAAGAGAAGGAGAGAAUCUUGCUUGGAGGCCUUGGAGCAUCAUCUUCUUCCUCAUUUCUCACCUUGGUGGCUUGGAGCUUGCGGUUGGAGCUUUGUGGAGGAUCAAACUUCAACCCUACUUGGUUUAGAGCUUGGAUUGAAGCUUCUCUUGAGGUUAGUUGCUUGUAUUCCCCAUUUAAUACAAGUUUUUCUAGAUUUUACUAGAUGAAACCCUAGAUUUUGGAAUUUAGGGUUUAUUUUGGGGAUUCUUGAUUUGGGGGCUUUGAAACCUAAUUAAUGGGUUUAGAACCUUUAUUUAGGUUGGAUUUGAAGAACUUUAACUCCCUUUUGGAGCUUGAGAGAGGAUUUCUUCACCUAGGUGAGUUUUUCUCCACCUUAGCCUAUGUUGCUUAUGGUUUAAGCUUAGGGUUGAUCGUGAGGUUUGUUUGACCCUUGUUCCUACAUCUUUAUGGAGCUAGGAGACUAGUCGACACCUUCGUCGGAACUUACGAGGGGUUUCGGUAUCUCGGUGGGUUUGGCUUCAUGAACACGGGGCAAAAAGGCCCCCCUAUGUUUCUAUACUUGUCGUAAAGUAUUUUUGAAUGCAAAUCCAUAUUAAACAUAAUUUAUAUGAAUUUUAGAACACUUAAAAUGCAUGCUUUAUGUAUCAUGAAAUUGCACUCUAUAUAGUAGAGCUAUAUGUGUAGACUGCAUGCAUUGUGAAGGGUAGUUGACCUUGCAAGUUGAGAACAUGUCUCCUAUGUUAGAAUAAGUAGAAUUAUGUAUUCAUGAACUUAGAUACCAUGCUUGGACUCAUUGAACAAUAGUGUUAUAAAGGGGCACUUGAAAUUAGUAAACUAUGUAAAUGCAACAUAGAGACAUAGAGAUAGGCCAUUAGACAUCGACUAUAUUCCAUGUUAGAGACAUGAUGACAUAGUGAUAAGCCUUUGUGAUAUUCGAUACAUUCCAUGUUCACAGACAUGAGGACUUGAUACUUGUGACAGACUUAUACGCAUGCUUGUUAUUGUGCUCAUUCGCACAUGCUUGUGAGGGUCGCUCCUUACAAGCUGGCACUCCGGAGUUGGCCAUCGCGAUACGUUCGCCGUGCGGGAUUGGGCGCCGAAGUGGAUUGCCGUGGGCCAGGCUCAUUCCUAGGGUGGGGAUGAUGACUACCACGGGGCCAUUAGGCUCGGCAUCGGCCAGACAGCCUACGGGUGGGUCUCAGGGCCAUAGACAGCCUUCGGGUGGGUCUCUCCAGAAUUGACUUUGAGUAUUCACUAUGACGUGUGGACAGAUGACGACUUAAUAUAUUGACUAGAAUAGUGAACAAUGACAUCUUUACUAUUUGCUUGAGGACAUCGUAUUGGUUGCAUACUGACGCUUAUUCAUGUUAUACACAUCCAUGUACAUUCAUGUUAUAGUUGCUGUAUUACUUAUGCAAAUCAUGCUAAGUAGAGACAUUACAAUAUAGUGAGUUACAUUUUACGUAUCUUUUGCCUUACUACUUUUUGUCACUGACCUCCUCUUUGUAGCUUUUGGGCCUUGUGGCGCAGUUCACUGAAGUCAGUAAUUGCCCACUGGGAACUAUCUUUAAUAGUUCUCACGCCCUCUUUUUCGUGGUUUCUUUCAGAGCCUUCGGCACCGGCGGAGGCACGGGAUCGCAUAUCUAGCUAGCGAGGAGCGGUUCUUUGCCUAGGUGGUUUACUCUUUCUUUUUGUAGUUGAGAGAGUGAGAGUUUUGUACCCAUGUAUAGAGACCACCUAUGUAUUUACUUUCAGCACUUGUUUUUGGGAUUUCCUUUGUUCUACCUUAUAUUUUUGCUAGUGGUUUUCAACUUCAUGUUCCUUCCUCUAUUGUAGAACUUAGUCUUAUAGCAUGCUCUGAUACUCCUAGAUGUCUUUUAUUAUUGCUUAUUUCAUCGUUGUUUUUAGACGCCUUAUAUGUUUUAGACGUAUGGCGGGUCUGAGCACGUGCCGGGCGGGCUUUCGCUGGACCCCGGGGCGUGACAAAUCAACUUCAGCUUUUUGUCGAAAACCUUGAGCCACAAGCCGCGCCUUCUACUUCUCUACUGAUUCAUCAGUCAUGAGCUUCUUUUUAAAGAUCCACUUACAUCCUAAGAGUUGGUUUCCAUGAGGUAAAUCAGUGAGGAUCCAAGUGUUAUUGCCAAUAAUUGACUCGAUCUCAUUGUUUAUAGACUCCUUCCAAAAAGAAGCUUCAGAAGAACUCAUAGCUUCCUUGUAUGAUGAAGGUGUACUUUCAACUAAGAAAGUAAAGAAAUUUUCACCAAAGUUCUUCUCAAUACGAGCUCUCUUGUUUCUUCUCAGUUCGGCUGGUGGGUUGGGUUUUACAUGAUCUAAACUAUAUGAUAAAUCAGAUGCAAGUAAAUGAUUGGAUGUAGAUGCAUAAUCAACUGUAGGCUGAUAAUCAGGGGCUGAUCUAGAGAUGCGGGUUUUGAAAGAAAAAAUAUUUUCAAAAAUGGUUGGAUCUCUAGAUUCAAUCAAAGUAUCAUUGGAAAUUUCAGAAAUCUCAGAGUUGGUUACAAGAAAUCUAUAGGUGUUACUAUUUAGGUAAAUUUAUUUAUUUUAUCACAAAAAUUAGUUAGAUUUUAAUCACAAUUAGAUUUCGUUGCGGUUUUCCCAACAACUAAAGCAUAUUCCCGUCCUUCGUGCGGGAUUAACCGGAAACACCGCCCCAAGGUACGACCGGAAUUCCUCCUCCUACGAACACGAACGUGGAAGAGAUUGAUGGAGAAUCUUUCAACACCCGAAAACGAAAUCACCAGAAUAAAAUAUUAAAAUAUCAACUCUCUAAACUUUGCUUCAAAGGAACUUGGGAAAUCAACUUUUUCUUCUCUCUGUUAACAGGCUCAUCCUAUAGACAUAUAUAUACAGGAUGCAAUAAAAGAACGUUGCCCACAUUCUAAUUGGAACGUUGGGAGAGUAGCGCGUGAAUAGCCCUCGCGCACGCGGAACGGGCGAGCAGAACGAGGCGCGAUCUUCGCAACGUCCAAGGUAAUAACAGAUAUAAAUUAAAUAAAGACAUAAUUAGAAUAAUAAAUUCAAUAUUAUAAUAAGAAAAAAUAAACUAAAUAAAGAAAUAAUAAUAAUGAGGAUUUUGAAUUUUUUCAUCAACAUCUCUGCCACUUGAAGGGGAACAUGGUGAAUCAUUUACCGUGUUAAAAUUCACCGUGUUCAACUUAAAAUUUCCUUCCAAUAUGGCGCUUAUGUGACGCACAUGUGGCAGAGAUAGGAUCAAUUUUGUAAAUAUAAAUUUUGUGAGGCAAUUUGCAAAAAAAAAAAAAAAAUGUUUAGAAACUAUAUGCAAAAAAAGCCCAAUUUUAGGGGGUGUUUGGCCUAGCUUUUCAAAAGUGAUUAUGAGCCCAAAAGUAAUUUUAGGCUCAGUAGACUGUUUGGCAAUAGAAAUUAGGCUUAGUUUGGUAUUCAGGCCCAUCUAACGCUAUUGGAUAAAACAGAGUUGGGGUAAAAGUAUAUAGGGAUAUACUUUUGCGUUCUUCGGUGGAAUCGCAGAAAAUAUAUCGUAACCGACUUAUCAAGAUAUGCGGAACACAAUAUUACGUACAGAAACAAACAUGAUAUUUUUUAUAGCAUACUGAAUUUUAGCAAAUUGUAAGGUUCUAGCGUAAGAAUAGUAUUUUAAACUAUUUUAGAGGUUUUGAGGGUUGUUGGUUGAGUGUUGGCCUGUUUCUAGUACUUCUUAGGCUCGAAAACGGGUUCCCGACAUCAAGAUCUGUAAAUUACAAAUUUUAGUGUUGAGUACCAGUACCGGGUUGAGAUACCAGAACCCUAUAGAGUGCCGAAAUGAGCAACUCUCGAGUUUUGAGGAACUGAGUUGUGAUUACCAGUACUGCAUCAGGCUGGUAUUGAAACGCAGUUAUAAACCCAAAUUUCCAACGUACGGAUUCUGCGAGACUGGGUCCUUAGUACUGGAACUGUGGGGUACCGGUACUCCAAUUCGAGUACCGGUAUUCAAUGCCGCAGAGUGUGAUUUUGUGCAGUAUGCAAAUUGUGAGUGUGAUUAUUACAGCAUGUAUAUACCUCUUCACCCAUCAUUCACUCAGCCUUUGUGCUAAAGUUAGAAAGAGGAAUAGAUAGGUAUUUCCUCUCCCUCUCUUGAAUUUUCUACUUCCAAAUCCUUUUAGAUUGGGUUUGAUGUCUUUUUCUUCUUCCUCUCCAUGGAAGCUUGCUACUUGGACCUUAAAGAAGGAUUGGGAGUGAGGAAGGGAGCUUGAUAGAGGACUAAUCUCCAACCCUAGCAUUGCUUUGCUUGAUAUGGAGUUUUUAUUGAGAUUUGUACUCUUUUUGCAACUUUUAAGUGUGGAUUUUGCAAGAUUUGUGGAAGAAAACCUAGUUUUGAGAAAACUAGGUUUAUUUUGGGGUUUCUUGAUUUGGAGCUUUUGGAGUUAAAUUGAUGAGUGUAGAACUCUCUUUCAGGUUGGAUUUGAAGCUUACUAGCCUUGGUUUGAACUUUGGACAAGUUCUACUUGAUCAAAGGUAUUUUUCACCUAUUUUAUACUUAAUUUUUUGUGAAUUUUGUGGGAAGCUUGUUAGAAGCUUGUAACCCUUUUAGAAUUUUUCUUAGGAUGGUAAGAGUCCUGUGGACAACUUCGUUCGAGAAAACGAACGAGUUUUGAAGGGUAUCCAGUGAGUUUGACCUCACCGAAAUGGGUGAACUCCCUCUAUAUCUUUUACCAUAUUUUAAGACUUAAAUUGAUGCAUAUUCAUGCUAGUUAUGACAUGAUAGAAUUUUCGAAUGCAUAUUACACACAUGUUACAUAUAUGGGUUUUAUACUCUAUGUAGUAGAGGCUUAUAAUGUGGAUAUGUAUACUAAAUAGUACAUAAUGGUGUUUUCCUCAUAUGCGACAAUAGAAAGCAUUUUAGAGAUGAGUAAGUGAUAUGUCUCUUGGACCUUCUAUGGUUAGUGGAAUUAAUGGAUCAACUUGCAUGAUAGUCAACAUACUUGUUAUAGACAAGGAAAAUACGACAUGUUGUAUGGUAGUGCCAAAGUAUGAACUUAAACAUGUUGUACUUAACUUAGUUGAACAACUAGAAUUCAACAUUGUGACAUAGUAUUCGACCUCUAGGUCGCUAGUUAACAUACCAUGUUUUAGACAUGACGAACGCGAUCCCUAUGUUGUUGAUCACGCUUGCUUGCCAUUGUGCUCAUUCGCACAAGCUCGUGAAGGUCGCACCCUAUAAGCCGACACUCCGGAGUUAGCCUUUGCGACAUCAUGCUCACCCGUACGAGAUUGGGCACCAAAGUGGAUUACCGUGGGUGAGACUCAUUCCUAGCGGGGGAAUGUUAACUACCACGGGGCCAUUAAGCACAACACAAAUCGGGACUAUACCUUGUGUAAGUCCUUGUUGAUUUGGGUAAUUACAAUUAAACUUAAUGAUUAGACAUCAUUACUAGAUAGGACAUGACAUUGGACUUACAAGCUCAUUCAUGUGAUAGAGUAGUUUUUCAUACAUGUUAAAUAAUAUAGUAAAUUGGAGGCAUAGUAGUGUGAGGACUUUUAAUUCUUGUAAAAAUUAUUCAUGCUAUACUAUUAGUCAUUUUAUUUUCUACUGUUGCCUCAGCUGACCUAGUGGUGUAAUUUGCUUUUCUCGGCGGCUUACCCACUGGGAACUAUUGUUUAAUAGUUCUCACCCCCAUAUAUUUGUUGUUUUUGUUUUCAGAGCCUUCCACUGCAGGAGAGGCUAGGGCCCGUGGCAAGGGAGUCGCGUCUAGCUAAAGCCUUUCGGGAGAUACCUGCAUAGGCGGACACCUUUCUUUUGUUUAGCUUUGAGAGGUGUACCUGACCAUCAUUAUAUAUAGAGACUACCCUUUGAUUCCAGUUGUAUCUUUUGGUGGUGACAUGAUGUAUAUUCUUUUUGGGAUAGUUGUGUUACGUAUUUUAAGUUGGCAUAUUUUAUGAAGUAAGUCGGAGUCUUAAAGGUUUAUAGAAGAAAAGAUGAAGAUCGAAGACUCGAAAACUCAAAACAUAAAUCCAAGAUGUUUGGAUGUCUUGGGAGUUUGAAUAAUUUUAAGGGGUGGAGAAUUUAAUAUACCGAAACUCGGUAGAGAAUAUCGAACUUUAGCCAAAUUGACUAAAGUGUGCGAGAGAAGUAGUUGCACAAAGUCCAUUUAACAUUCCAACAAUGUUGGAAGGGUUAAAGUUGAGUUCUAAAAGAGAUUAAAGGGUUUUAGUAUUGAUAUGAGCGAAACGAUGUAAAAAUUGCAGUCUGGAGCAUUGUUAACCGGUUAAGCAUUGAGGUGGUACCGGUACCAGGC
rnacentral:lncRNA from 1 species